UAGGGUUUGACAUGCUCUCGCACCGUCUGGAGACAGGCGUGCCCGCAAGGGACGGGAGCACAGGUGCUGCAUGGCUGUCGUCAGCUCGUGCCGUGAAGUGUUGGGUUAAGUCCCGCAACGAGCGCAACCCCUGUUGCCGGUUGGACAUAUCCGGCGAGACUGCCGCGAGCAACGCGGAGGAAGGUGGGGAUGAUGUCAAGUCAGCACGGCCCUUACGUCCUGGGCGACACACACACUACAAUGGCUGGUACAACGGGCAGCGAAGCGGCAACGCGGAGCCAAUCCCAGCAAAGCCAGCCCCAGUUCAGAUUGCCGGCUGCAACCCGCCGGCAUGAAGGUGGAGUUGCUAGUAACCGUGGGUCAGCACACCACGGUGAAUACGUUCCC
rnacentral:rRNA from 1 species